rnacentral:rRNA from 1 species
AUUGAACGCUAGCGGGAUGCCUUACACAUGCAAGUCGAACGGAGUGGCGAACGGGUGAGUAAUGUAUCGGAACGUGCCCAGUAGCGGGGGAUAACUCCGCGCAAGCGUUGCUAAUAACGCAUACUAUUGGAGCGGCCGAUAUCGGAUUAGCUAGAUGGUGGGGUAACGGCUCACCAAGGCGACGAUCCGUGGCGGGGUUGAGAGGACGACCAGCCACACUGAGACUGAGACAGGGCCCAGACUGCUACGUGAGGCAGCAGUGGGGAAUUUUGGACAAUGGGGGAAACCCUGAUCACGCCAUCCCGCAUGUGAUAUGAAGGGCUUCGGGUUGUAAAGCACGUUUGGCAGGAAAGCGGUACCUGAAGAAUAAGCACCGGCUAACAACGUGCCAGCAGCCGCGGUAAUAC